UGGUGGAGUGAUUUGUCUGGUUAAUUCCGUUAACGAACGAGACCUCGACUUACUAACUAGUUUGCCAAACCUUUGGGUUUGCGUAAGCUUCUUAGAAGGACUAUCGGUUUUUCGCCGACGGAAGCUCGAGGCAAUAACA
rnacentral:rRNA from 1 species